rnacentral:rRNA from 1 species
UACAGAGGUCUCAAGCGUUGUUCGGAUUCAUUGGGCGUAAAGGGUGUGUAGGUGGCGCGCUAAGUCGGGUGUGAAAUUUCGGAGCUUAACUCCGAAACUGCAUUCGAUACUGGCGUGCUUGAGGACUGGAGAGGAGACUGGAAUUCAUGGUGUAGCAGUGAAAUGCGUAGAGAUCAUGAGGAAGACCAGUGGCGAAGGCGGGUCUCUGGACCAAUAUUGACGCUGAGGAGCGAAAGCUAGGGGAGCAAACGGG